GGGGACGUUACGGAUUCGACAGGGAUAGUUCGAGCUCAGGCUGCGUGUCGAGGUUACGGCUCGUAAAACGUUACGCCUAAAUAUAACUGGCAAAACUAACAACAACUACUCUCUAGCAGCUGCGUAAGCAGCACUAGUGGAUCCUUGCUGCUAUCGCCCAUGUGGCAGAUUUGAGGGUCUCAAACUUAAGUGGGCUACGCCAUUAUUCUCGGCUUGCGGAUAAUCGGAAGAAGACAAUCAAGCUAGCCUCGCUGAAAGCCUGUCGUUAGGCCGAAGCGUGUGCGAACUAUAAUAUAGCGAAUACACACGUAGAUGCCUGAGUGCCGUUAUCUUUGGACGUGGGUUCGACUCCCACCGUCUCCAUCC
rfam:Terribacillus aidingensis strain MP602, complete genome.